AGAGGCUUUGUGCGGACUCGG
rnacentral:miRNA from 1 species